CCUACGGGGGGCAGCAGUGGGGAAUAUUGCACAAUGGGGGAAACCCUGAUGCAGCGACGCCGCGUGAGUGAAGAAGUAACUCGUUAUGUAAAGCUCUAUCAGCAGGGAAGAAAAUGACGGUACCUGAGUAAGAAGCCCCGGCUAACUACGUGCCAGCAGCCGCGGUAAUAUGGAGGGGGCAAGCGUAAUCCGGAUUUACUGGGUGUAAAGGGAGCGUAGUCGGCAGUGCAAGUCUGGAGUGAAAGGCGGGGGCCCAACCCCCGGACUGCCCUGGAAACUGUACGGCUGGAGUGCAGGAGAGGUAAGUGGAAUGCCUAGUGUAGCGGUGAAAUGCGUAGAUAUCAGGAGGAACACCGGUGGCGAAGGCAGCUUACUGGACUGUGACUGACGUUGAGGCUCGAAAGCGUGGGGAGCAAACAGGAUUAGAUACCCCUGUAGUC
rnacentral:rRNA from 1 species